UCCUUCGGGGGAUAUGGUCAACAGAAAAUAUACAGAGAAGAUUAGCAUGGCCCCUGCACUAGGAUGAUAUGCUCAAUCAAAGAGAAGCUACUUGAGGUG
rnacentral:snRNA from 1 species